rnacentral:rRNA from 1 species
AAGCUUAAAUUUAAUAAAAAGACGAGAAGACCCUAUAGAGUUUAAUAGGUUUAUAUUUUUAUAAUUUAGGAUUUUAUUAUAUAAUAAUGUUAACUUAUUUAGUUGGGGUGACUAUAGAAUUUAAUAAACUUCAUUUUUGUAAUCAUUGAUUUAUGAAUAAAUGAUCCUAGUGUUUAGAUUAAAAGAAUAAAUUACCUUAGGGAUAACAGCGUAAUUUUUUUGGAGAGUUCUUAUCGAUAAAAGAGAUUGCGACCUCGAUGUUGGAUUAAAGUUUAUUUUUGGUGCAGAAGCUAAAAUAUUAAGACUGUUCGAC